CGGGGUCACUACCAGUCUCUGCGUCUUGGUGGUAGUGGUCCCCCGGGCCCAGCUGUCUUUUCUUCUCUUUGUCUUGUGUCUUUAUUUCUAUGAUCUCUCCUCUCCGCACACAGGGAGAAAGACCCACAGACCGUGUACGGCUAGUCUCUACAGUUUGCUAUUGUGCAUUGUGGAGAGGACUAGAGAGGGCAAGAGUCUGCCAUCUUAUCCAGGUCAGAAAUGGAGGAGUUAAGUUUUGGAAAUAAUUUUUAGUGUAAUACUUUUAUGAUCUGAAGGAGAAAGCAAAUAUUUUGCUUGGUCUGUAAGGCUAAUUACUUCUGGAUAAUGAAGUAAUGGUAAGCCUGGUAAAUUCCAUUGGUAUUAGUCAUUACCUGCUUUCUUUUACUCUGAGGUGAGUUCCAUUGCCAGGCGCAAUGUUGUUUGAGAUACCCUGAUUGGACAUCGUGGAUUUGCAGGAACAAGCAUGAUGUCAGGAAAAGAAAACUUCAGCUAGAAACAAUUUUUAUUCCAUUGAGGACUAGUUGCUCUCCUGCACAUGAUGACAGGAGUAAAAUAUAAUUGACUUGUCAGAAGGUAUUCAGUUGGUCCCAGAAGGUAUAGUAUCAUCUCAGGAGCUCAAGCCUGGAUUUGUCUGCUGGAAAAUGAGAGACACGUGGCCAGCUGUGCAGUCACCCCAGCCUAUAGCUAGCCAAACUCCAGAAGGAGAGAAGGUCGCUGACCUGCCUCUGACUGUGGACACAAAAGGGAGCCAUGACAAGACUAGACGAAUCACCCAACAAGCUUGGCCUAAGUUGCUGACCUGCUGAAUUAUGAUAUAAAUAAAUGGUUGUUAUUUUAAGCCACUACGUUUGGGGUGGUUUGUUUCAUAGAAAUAAUUCACUGAUACAAGGAAGAUAACUUUCCUUUUAAUUGACAUGGCUGGUUGGUGAGAUAGUUCCUUUCACUUACGUUGCAUUGCUGAAAGCUAGUUAUCAGGCCUCCCUUACAUGGAAGAGGAGACUAUAAAAUGUAGUCCAGCAGUGUAACCAGAAGAGGCAGAGGACAUGGAUAUCGGUGGAUCCCCGUCAUAAGCACUUACUCAUUUUUCUGGGGCAAUGGACACACUUUCUGUUGACUUCUUACAAAUCUUGGAGUCUCAGCUGAAGCUUCUGUACAAAGUCAGAAUUAUUAUGUAAAAUCUUGUUGUGCCUUGUGAUAGAGAAGAUCACUAUCUUAUGUUCUGAUGACUCUCCAAAGAGGGUAGGAUUCUGUUUAAGUAGUCUCAGGGCCUGGUUAUCUUUAUUUCAAGGAGAGAAAGGAGGAAGCUUAGUGUAGGCCGACAGGUCUGAGCCAUAACCUUCAACUGCAUUUUUCAAGCCCCUCUAGUUUCUUGUGUAUAUUUCCUGUGGUGAGGAACCCCACUGGGAAGAGAGGUCAUGGCAGGAUUUAUGCAUUCUUGUGUUGUUGUGUUGUGAUUUCUGUCAUCACAGCAGAAUCAAUAUCUUUGUUUAUUGUUCUUAGGAGUCAGUAUCCAGUCUAUUGUCUAUAGUUCUAGUAGCAUGAUUUAUGAUUCAUGAGUUUAAAUGAUGUCUCAACACUGUAACACCACACACAGACACUGUAGAUUAUGUUAGAGGGAACACAAUGCGUCAGACAGACCCAGGUCUCAAUCCCUUCUUUUCUACUUACUAACUUUGUGACCUUGGGUAAAUUCUUUAAAUUCAGGUGCCUGUUUCCCUUUAGCAAAAUGUAGACAAUCAUAGCAAACAUCCCUGUUUCUUGUAAGCAUUACAUGAAAGAAAGAAUGUGAAAGUACUUGGCACUCGUAGAUGCUCUGCAAAUGCUAACUGAAUCUAAAUUAGAGGAGAAGCAAGCUAGUGUUUUAAAACAUACUUUAAUAAGUAGAAAUAGAUCACAAUGUUGAGUUAAUCAUAGCACAUUGUAAUCAUACAUCCAUGUAAGGCCCCUCUCUUGUGUGAAUCCAUUAAUUUUUCCUUUAUCCCUGUUUCACUGUCUCAUUUAUCUUCUUCCAUAGGUAUCUGUUACAUACACUUUAUAUAUAAUCAAAUUUAUUUAUCUUUGAAAAAUAGUUUGUUGUAUGUAAAGUUGGAUUGUUUGUAACUCACAAGAUAAAUUCUUGAGGGAACAGGUACCCCAUUCGUCAUGAUGUGCCUAUUUCACAUUGCAUGCCUGUAUCAAAACAUCUCAUGUACCCCCUAAAUAUAUAUAACUACUAUGUACCCACAAAAUUUUAAACAAGUUUAUGCAAAUGGCAUUAUACUAUAAAUUUCUGUCUUUUUAAAAACUUUUCACCCAGCAUGUUUUAAAUGAUUGUCCAUGGUGCUGAAUGCUGUCUCAUUCAUGACUUUUGAGGCUAAAUAAUGUUGCGUUACAUUUUCUACCUUUAACUUACCCAUUCCCCAAUUGUUGGAUACCUACGUUCUCUCCAAUACCAAAAAUAUGCAUUAAAACAUCUUCUAAAAUGCAUUUUUACCAACCUGCUGGAAAAUUUCUCUAGGAUAUAUGCCCAAGAGAGGGACUUAUGGAUCACAGAUGUGUGCAUACUUAUUUUAUUGAGGACACAACCAGACGGCUUUCUAGGAGGGCCGUACCAGUUUAUACAACUGUCAGUAGUGCAUGAGGAGCCGGUUUUCUGACAUCUUCACCAUCUUUCUAAUUUUUGUAUUAUAAUGGAUAUACAAUGGUAUCUCACUGUCAUUUUAGUUUUUAUUUAUCUAUAUACUUGUGUGUGUAAGAGUCUCCUUAUAUGUAUUUUGGCCAUUCAGGAAUCCCUUCUCUGCAUCAUCUCCUCAUGUCCUAGGGAAUCAGUUUUCUCAAUGCUAUAUGCCAACCAAAUCAUCCCUUCCCUAUUGCUUUAAAGAGUCACAUCUACUGUGAAUCAAAGUCACACGCAAACAAAUCUAUUUCUGAGGUCUCUAUUCUGUUCCGAUUUGUUCUAUUUAUCUCUAUCCAUGUUAGUCCAUACUGUUUAUAUAACAAUGGCCUUUCCUACAUCUUAAUAUCAUAAAGAAUAAUGUGCUCUCCCCACCUCAUCUUUCCUCUUUUAUUUCAAAACUGACUUAGCUCUUCAUGAAUUCUAUUCUUCCUUUGUAUCCUCAGUGCCAAUUUAUUAGCUUGUUGUCCCAACGCAGUUUAUUGAAAGAGCUAGCUUUUAAUAACUAAUGUGGUGUUAAUCACUCAUCUACAUUUCUAAGAUAUAGUAUGUAGUGUUCUUAGUUUUGCUAAUUUUUUUCUAGUCAUCAUUUUCUUUUCCUCUUUAACCAAAGAGUUAUUUUAGAGAGUGACUUUUAACAACUCAAAGUGACUCUAUUUUUAGGGUUAAUAUGUUCUUAUUAGUCUCUAGUUUUACUGCACUUUGCUUAGAGAUGUGGUCUGCAUAAUAUAUACUUUUUAGAAUUAUAGAUUGUCUUUGUGGUCUAAUAUGAUAGAUUUAUGUGAAUGAGCCAUGGGCACUGGAAAUCUAUUCUCCAUAGAGUUAAAGUUUGGUAAUUAUUAGACCAACCUUUAUUAUUUAACUCAAAGCCUUUUAUCUAGUAUUAGUAAACCAUAGGGGGCCACAAAGAAGUUCAUGAAUGGGCUUCAAGGUAUCCAUAAAUUCCCUGACAUGCAGGCAAUAUGCACAUGCUUCUGAGUGAGGAGAGAAAAUUCAUGAGAUUCCCAUAGGGGUCCAAGAGUCUAAAAAGAUGAACAACUACAGGAUUAAUUUUUGUUUUAUGUUUGUUUAUUUAUAUCUAUUUGAUCUGUCAAUAGCAUUAUAACUGUGCUUUUAACAAUUUUGUCUUGUUUUUAUACUUCUUUUCAUUCUAUAUAUUGAAGCAAUGUUGACUGAUGCAUAUUUGUGGAUAUUUAUAAUGUAACUACAUAUUUUAUUCUUUUCAUUAUAAAAUGUUAAUUAUAAAGUCAUUAAGAAUCCUUUUUAAUAUAUUUGCCCUGAAUUCAGCAGUGUCUGAUUUUAUUACUCAAUUGUAGCUUUCAGUUUAUUUGUGUUUGUCUGAUGUAUUUUUUCAACUUUAGGCUUUUUGCUUAGUUGGAUUCUUUUUGUAUCAAUUAUAUUUAAUACGGAAUUUUAAUCUUUCUAUGUUCAUUGCAAUAAAUGAUAUAUUUGCUCCUACUUCUGUCAUUUUGUUUUUAUUUGGUUGUUGAUGUUCAUGCUUUGCUUUUUUUGUCAUUUCUGUCUUUUGCUGUAUGUUAGAUGCAUUCAUUGUUUUUCUUUUCU
rnacentral:lncRNA from 10 species